UACCUGGUUGAUCCUGCCAGUAAUCAUAUGCUUGUCUCAAAGAUUAAGCCAUGCAUGUCUAAGUACAUGCCGAAAUAAGGCGAAACCGCGAAUGGCUCAUUAAAUCAGUUAUGGUUCCUUAGAUCGUUUCUUCCUACUUGGAUAACUGUGGCAAUUCUAGAGCUAAUACAUGCAGUGAGCCUGAAGCCCUUUGGGCGACGGGUGCUUUUAUUAGACCAAGAUCGAUCGGGUUUCGGCCCGUAUUGUGUGGUGACUCUGGAUAACUUUGUGCUGAUCGCAUGGCCACGAGCCGGCGACGUUUCUUUCAAGUGUCUGCCUUAUCAACUUUCGAUGGUAGGUUACUUGCUUACCAUGGUUGUUACGGGUAACGGAGAAUCAGGGUUCGAUUCCGGAGAGGGAGCCUGAGAAACGGCUACCACAUCCAAGGAAGGCAGCAGGCGCGCAAAUUACCCACUCCCGGCACGGGGAGGUAGUGACGAAAAAUAACAAUACGGGACUCUUUUGAGGCCCCGUAAUUGAAAUGAGUACACUCUAAAUCCUUUAACGAGGAUCAAUUGGAGGGCAAGUCUGGUGCCAGCAGCCGCGGUAAUUCCAGCUCCAAUAGCGUAUACUAAAGCUGCUGCGGUUAAAAAGCUCGUAGUUGGAUCUCAGUUCCAGACGAGUAGUGCAUCUACCCGAUGCGACGGCUCGGACUGAACAUCAUGCCGGUCCUUUCUUGGUGCACUUCAUUGUGUGCCUCGAGAAGGCCGGUGCUUUUACUUUGAAAAAAUUAGAGUGCUCAACGCAGGCGAGUCGCCUGAAUAAACUUGCAUGGAAUAAUAGAACAAGACCUCGUUUCUGUUCUGUUGGUUUUUGGAAUACGAGGUAAUGAUUAAGAGGGACAGACGGGGGCAUUCGUAUUGCGGCGCUAGAGGUGAAAUUCUUGGACCGUCGCAAGACGAACUACUGCGAAAGCAUUUGCCAAGAAUGUUUUCUUUGAUCAAGAACGAAAGUCAGAGGUUCGAAGGCGAUCAGAUACCGCCCUAGUUCUGACCAUAAACGAUGCCAACCAGCGAUCCGCCUGAGUUACUCAAAUGACUCGGCGGGCAGCUUCCGGGAAACCAAAGUGUUUGGGUUCCGGGGGAAGUAUGGUUGCAAAGCUGAAACUUAAAGGAAUUGACGGAAGGGCACCACCAGGAGUGGAGCCUGCGGCUUAAUUUGACUCAACACGGGAAAACUUACCCGGCCCGGACACUGGGAGGAUUGACAGAUUGAGAGCUCUUUCUUGAUUCGGUGGAUGGUGGUGCAUGGCCGUUCUUAGUUGGUGGAGCGAUUUGUCUGGUUAAUUCCGAUAACGAACGAGACUCUAGCCUAUUAAAUAGGUGCGGGGUUCCCAGCACCUUACAACCUUCUUAGAGGGACAAGCGGCUCCUAGCCGCACGAAACAGAGCAAUAACAGGUCUGUGAUGCCCUUCAGAUGUCCGGGGCCGCACGCGCGCUACACUGAAGGAAGCAGCGUGUCUUUAUCCCUGUCUGAAAGGACUGGGUAACCCGUGGAACUUCUUUCGUGAUUGGGAUAGGGGCUUGCAAUUGUUCCCCUUGAACGAGGAAUUCCCAGUAAGCGCGAGUCAUAAGCUCGCGUUGAUUACGUCCCUGCCCUUUGUACACACCGCCCGUCGCUACUACCGAUUGAAUGAUUUAGUGAGGUCUUCGGACCGAUGUCCGGCGCGGCCUUUCGGUUGCGCCGGUCUGUUGGAAAGAUGACCAAACUUGAUCAUUUAGAGGAAGUAAAAGUCGUAACAAGGUUUCCGUAGGUGAACCUGCGGAAGGAUCAUUA
rnacentral:rRNA from 1 species